GACGUAGGAGGCAAGCGUUGUUCGGAUUUACUGGGCGUAAAGGGCGCGUAGGCGGCGUGACAAGUCACUUGUGAAAUCUCCGGGCUUAACUCGGAACGGUCAAGUGAUACUGUCGUGCUAGAGUACAGAAGGGGCAACUGGGAUUCUCGGUGUAGCGGUGAAAUGCGUAGAUAUCGAGAGGAACACCUGCGGCGAAGGCGGGUUGCUGGGCUGAUACUGACGCUGAGGCGCGAAAGCCAGGGGAGCGAACGGG
rnacentral:rRNA from 1 species